GCGUCCGGGCACCCGGCGUCAUUUGCAGCUAGAGCCUUCCAGGGGGCGAGCCAUAGGCAUGCCCAGACUGCGCGGCUCUUCGGCGGCGGAGACCGGAUUCCAACCUGGGCUGCAGCUCCGGCUGCCGACUGGCCGCCGAACGCGCCGCCUCCCGUCGCGGAACGCUCGCUGGCUGGCUGGCAAGCCUGCGCGCGCUGCCUCGCCGCCUUUUGCCCCGCCGGACUGCGCGUGGCGCUGCCGGAGCGUGGCGGGCUGGCUCGGGCCUCCCGGAGCCCGGUGCGACUGGCUGCCCUUAAAGGGGGGGGGGCGCGCGUGGCGGGGAGGCCGGCAGAUCGGUCCUAAGGAGGACCUGGCCUGAAAGCGCGCUUUUCCCUCAGGGCUGAGCAGGAGCCCAGCAGCCUUGACCUCGCGCUCUUUCCGAUACUGCGGGCAGAUCGACGGCGGGGGAGCCCAUCUCCCUGCCGGAGGAGGUGGAAGAGAAAGAGGCGUCGGGGAGGAAAACCGAGCUUGAAGGAAAAAGAACGUCGGGACGGCGGCGCGGCUGGCGGGGGCGAUGUCUCGCUGAGGUGUGCAGAGAGUUUGGGGACAACUUGGCGUUCGGGUCCCCGAGAAUCGAGACUUUCCGGAGCUGGGAACUGCCGGUCUCUUGUUUUUUGUCUAUGUCUUGUUGGGAGGCCUGGUGGAUAUUGCUUGCUUUCCUGAAGGAAGAAGAAGCUGGUGCUGGCGGUUGCCUCCUUAGUCUUUGGCGGACGGCAAAGGAAGAAAAAGGAUCUGGCUUGAGCUGCACAGCGACGAGAGAGCUCGGACAUGUGUCAGCACAUCUGGGGAAUAGAGGCUGCGAGUCCAAAAGGAGAUUUUCUGGGAUUGCUCAAGCUGCAAUAUUGAUCUUUGCUGUGUUUUUUCACCGAGGGAUGCACUUGGCAUGAGAAUCGGAGGAUGGAAAUUGUUUGGGAGGUGCUUUUUCUUCUGCAAGCCAAUUUCAUUGUCUGCAUUUCAGCUCAGCAGAAUUCACCAAAAAUCCAUGAAGGCUGGUGGGCUUAUAAGGAGGUGGUCCAGGGAAGCUUUGUUCCAG